rnacentral:rRNA from 1 species
UACAGAGACUGCAAGCGUUAUUCGGAUUCACUGGGCGUAAAGGGUGCGCAGGCGGUCGGGUGUGUCAGAUGUGAAAUCCCGAGGCUCAACCUCGGAACUGCGUCUGAAACUACUCGACUAGAGUACUGGAGAGGGUAACGGAAUUCACGGUGUAGCAGUGGAAUGCGUAGAUAUCGUGAGGAACACCAGAGGCGAAGGCGGUUACCUGGACAGUUACUGACGCUCAGGCACGAAAGCAUGGGGAGCAAAAGGG